UUUCCGUAGGUGAACCUGCGGAAGGAUCAUUAAUGAGUUGUCAUGGGGUUCGAUGCUGGCAGCCAAUUUUUGGAUGCAUGUGCUUGCCCUAACAAUCAUAUUCCAAACACCUGUGCACAUUUUUGAGGGAGUCUUGAGUUGGUUGCCGCUCUUGGGUGAUUUUCUCACAUUCCCUUAAAUCAUUAUACGCUAUUAACAAUGUUGAACGUGCUCUGUGCCGCAAGGCUAUUAAUAUAAUACAACUUUUAACAACGGAUCUCUUGGCUCUC
rnacentral:misc_RNA from 1 species